rnacentral:rRNA from 1 species
GACGAACGCUGGCGGCGUGCCUAAUACAUGCAAGUCGAGCGGACGGACGAGGAGCUUGCUGGUCUGAUGUUAGGGGAGGACGGGUGUGUAACACGUGGAUAACGUACCUAUAAGACUGGGAUAAUUUCGAGAAACCGGCGAUAAUACCGGAUAAUAUCUUGAACCGCAGGGGUCAAAAGUAAGAGACGGUGUUGCUGUCAGUUAUAGAGGGAUCUGCGCUGCAUUAGCUAGUUGGUAAGGUAACGGCUUAUCAAGGCAACGAUGCAUAGCCGACCGCAGAGAGUGAUCGCCGACACGGGAGCUGGGCCACGGUCCAGGCUCCUACGAGAGGCAGCAGUAUGGAAUCUGCCGCAAUGGGCGAGAGCCUUACGGAGCAGCGCCGCGUGUGUUAUGAAGGUCUUCGGAUCGUAAAGCUCGCUUAUUAGUGAAGAACAUAUGUGUAAGGAGCUGUGCACAUCGUGACGGUACCGAGUAAAAAAGCCACGGCUAACUACGUG